rnacentral:rRNA from 1 species
UACGAAGGGGGGCUAGCGUUGUUCGGAAUUACUGGGCGUAAAGCGCGCGUAGGCGGAUCGCUAAGUCAGGGGUGAAAUCCCAGGGCUCAACCCUGGAACUGCCUCUGAUACUGGCAAUCUGGAGAUCGGGAGAGGUUGGUGGAAUUCCGAGUGUAGAGGUGAAAUUCGUAGAUAUUCGGAGGAACGCCGGUGGCGAAGGCGGGACUCUGGGCCGAUACUGACGCUGAGGAGCGAAAGCGUGGGGGAGCAAACAGG